rnacentral:lncRNA from 1 species
UUUUUUUUUUUUUUUUUUUGGUCAGAGAGAGGCAACCUUGGUACCUGGGACCCACGGUAGUGCAGCUUCUACCUUUGAUUUGCUCACGACCGUGGGCAAGUUUGUUUCAUCUCUCCAGGACACGCUAGACUCUUGUAUUGCCUCCUUUCUGAACAUAUUAGUCGCAGUGAGUAGAAAAAACCCUAGAUUGGGAGUAAGAAACACACCUCUGGAUCAAAGGUAUCUAUUUCCACGAAGGACAAAAAUAAAAAGAGACGACCACUUCCUCAUAUUAAAAUGAGCAUCAGUCCGUAGUGUUUCUCGGAUUUCCUGAGUCGGAGAAAAGUCAUGUUCAUGAUUGCUUUUUGAUGAUUUUUAAAAUUUAGAACAUAGACCUUUGCUCCAUCACUGGCUACCAGCAACUAUAACACCUGAAUCAGAAUGUGAGCAUCUUUUCAGAGACAGCACUGUUAGUUGGUCUUGGCAGAAAGGUCCUGUAGAAGAAUGGCCCACACCCACAGGGCACAGUAUCUACCAGUGCAGCAAGUGUGGCAGAACUCCAGUCUUAGAGUGACCACAUCACUCAAGGACACUGUUCCCAUGGAAAUUUGGGGUCAUAGGGAGAAGCCCGACAUUCUGGGUUUCUAUGGCACUUCUGGUUGCUGCCAUUGCUACUGGCUGGUGAAGCACAGUUUGAAUAGCAAGGUCUUUCUGUGGGACCUAUCGCUGGGAUUAGUUACUCUGUCUUGGAACAGCUGUUACCACAUUUAUGGGGCUGAAAUGAUCUGAACCAGUUAGGAGAAGGACCGGGUGCAUGUGACUGUUUGUGCUUUAGGAAGAUAAUUUCUUUCUUGUGCAAGAGGCAUCCUAAGGUGAGCCGUCCAAGGCUGGUACAGUGGCUCCAUUGUGUCUGAGACCUUUGUUCCUUCUAUCUUGUUGCUCAGUAACAGGUUUUCAUCAGUACAUCACUUGUUAGUACAUCACUUCAGAGUCAAAGAUGGCUCUGCAAGAGGCAGUUGUUUUGUUUGCAUCAAAGGAAAAUGCAAGGUGCCUGUAACACUCUGCAUUAGCCCUCUAAGGCUGCUUUUUGAAAGUCUGAUAUAAGACUUCUAUUUACAUCUCAUAGGCCAAGUCGUCUCACAGCCACAUCUAGCUCCAAGGGAAGGUGGGCAGACCUGUGCCCACCUACAAAGUGGCAUUCUGUUUUAAGACAGGGGAGGCUGGGCUUUGGGAGACAGCUAGCCGUGCCCGCCAUGGUACCUCUGUUCUGAUUUUGAUGUAAAGGGCUACAGUUCUCAAUACAUUAAAGCUCAGUCCAGCAAACAGCCACGUAUUCCUUGGAUUUAACCUAUACAGCUCUUGUUCUUCUGUUUGUCACAUGAGAGGCUUGGCCCCGACGUCUGUAAUAGCAGGAAGGUCCUAGAGGGAGAGGGUCCGUGGAAACUGCCAGCCGAUGGUUAAGCAUCCCUGAGGCACUCCCUGGCCUGCUUCCAGGCAAGCAUAGCUUCUGCACACACUCAGGCUGAGGGUACUCUUUCGUAAAACUUCCCUCUCUUAUUCUCCCGUUCAGCCUGUCCUCAGCGUGCGGAAGAGUUUAGUGCAGGAACUAACCCCUUUAUUGCCCUGUUUCCCCUCCCCAUAGGGAGACCACUUUCAAAAAUAGUUAAUAAAUAGCCAUAAAAGAAAAGCAUCAACUGCAAUUUUUAAAAUGCCAUUUUCUCGGAAGUCUCUGCUGGUGUUUACAGUCAGGCCCCUGUUUCCAAUUGUGAAUUUAAUUGUUCCUCAAAAAGAAUGAAGUUCAUAUGUAUCCCACUUCUGAGGAUUAUCAGGCAGUAUAUAUCGUUUUUUUUUUUUGUCAGAUGACAUCUUUUUCAGCUAAUUAAAAGGACCGGCUUGACAAGUAUUGAGGAUCACACACUUCUGAAAGUUAAGGGAGGGGAUUCAUAAGAAUCUAUGUUGUGCAAUUUAAAUAGUUCUUUUCGGAGGAGAAAAACAAUCAUAAUUUUGGAAGAUUCAUUGCAUGUUUUACAUUAAACCAUAAAAUAUUCCAUAAGAUUCAUGUGGUCUAGGAAAUACUGCAUUCUAACUAGAAAGCACCCAUGCCUAAUCCUGCUUGAGCUAUUAUCAUUGCACGUGUAUGGCUCUGAUGAUUUACACGUAUGUGCAACCCUGUAUAAGGGACAUGUACUGAUCUACAUGAAGGCAUUUUACGCAUCAGUUUUUAUCCUCUGGUAUAAAGUAAAUUGCACUCUAGAGACUUGUGCAUUUAUUAGAUUCAGUUCCUCUGCUUGCUCAUAAAAUAAAUCUAUCCUCCUUUUUUGCAUCCCCGUGUAUAAAACUAGAAACUAAGGAAACGUACUUCUAGACUAGACUUUUCUGGGCUCUUUUGGCAUUUUAAGAAAGAAAAGGCUUCAAGAUUAUAAGACCUUCCAGAACUUUACAAAAUUCAGAGAUAGAUGGCAUAAUUUGAGGUAAUGGCCUAUAGUUUAAUUUUUAUUAAAUAAAUCGUUUUAACAACAGUUCCUAUCCAUUCAGGGUCCAGCUUGGAGACAGCAAAACAAAACAAAACAACAUAGGAAUCCAAACAAGGAAAGUUUUUUUUAUAAAGAAUUACUAACUAGUAAUAAGGACCAAGGGUAAAGUGGACGCUGAGGAAUUUGGGAAUAGCAGAUGGAGCAGCAGUUGACACUGUGGCCAAGGCGGGGUCCCCAGGGCAGGAACAUAUUUGGAGAAGCUGUGCUGUAGCCCGUUGGCUGGCUGGGAAGCUCACUGCUCUGGUGCUGCAGGCUGGCAAGCUGGAAACCUCCUGCUAGAAUGCUAGUGACCACACUGGGAGAUCAGCUAGAGCACAGGUAGAACCCUCUGGAAGCUGCCCCCGGGGGCCUGCCAGACUCUCCUCAGGGAGACUGACUGGGACACCAUCUAAACUUGUUAAGAAGCUGCCUGCAGAAGUGAGGCUGGACCUUGCUAGGUAAUUGCGCACCACCCCGGACCCGCAAGCUGGCUGACACUGCAGGAGCAAGAAGCCAGAAAGCACACUGAAUACGGAGGAAGACACUCCCUUUUCUUCACUAGUAUCCCUCUCUCUCGCCCUCUACUGACGAAGUUUAGCAUUGCACCCCUAGACGAAGAAAUGUUUAGAGGGUCCAGCUUUAGCAUCACAAGGCAAGGCAAUGAAGGGUGGGUUUGGACGUGGAAAGCAAUAAAUUGAUAACAGGCACAAUCACUAUAUUUUUUAAUUUAAGUAACUAAACAUAAAUUUGAAUUGUUAAAAUGGAAAAUUGAGAAAUGUGUUGCCACUUUAAUCUGAAAGUUAACCAUAACCAGUGAUGUAGGGAAAUUAAUGUUUAAGUGAAUUCAUGGACACACAUUAGAAUUUAGAAAGGUUGAUCUACAGGGUUAAAUUGAAACAUUUAAAAAAAUUAAGGCAUUGAAUCUGAAAGGUCUGAGAGAUUAAUUAGUCCAAUGCUCUGAUUCUAGAAAUUAGCGAGAGCCAAGGCUAAGGAGUUAGUGGAAAAGAUUAUUUGUUUGUUUCAUAAGUAUUUAUUCAGUAAAUGCUACUGGUAUGGUUCCAGGUAUAGGGGUCUAAGAGCAAACAGAUUAUUACCUGUACUCACAGAAUUUACAUUUGAGUCCAACAGAUAAAGAAGUAAAUAUGUAGUAACUCAGGUAUUAGAAGGGCUCUAACAAAAACAAAUCAGGGUAAGAGGAUAGAAAAUAAUGUAGGUAAGAAGGGAGGGGAGAGGCAGUGAUGUUUGUAUGGGUGUCACCUGAAGGGGGUCUCGCAACCCAAAACGUUCAAAUAGACGACAGCUUUUGGCAAAUUUCACGUAUUUUUCUCACUGUCCUUGUUCCUUUUGUACUUGCAGCCACGUUUUUAUGGGUUUGUAUCCCUUCAGCAAAGUCAAGGUGGAAGAGUACCACUGUCCUUUUUCUCCCAUCUUAUGUUUUAAAGGGAUUCAUUUUUAUAACGAUUACCUGUUUGUACCAUGUUCUUGUUCAUCCCACUCCGAGAAACUGGCAGAUGCAGCUUGCAGGAAAACUGGUUACAACGGACACCAACUAUGCUCUCACAACUCAGACUGACCACAUAGUUUGACACGUUUCAACUGGUUACUAGCUUGCUGGCUGUUUAGAUAUUAUACAUCUCCUGAGGGCAAUGUUGAACAUGCUGAAAAUCAUUCAACAGUUAGUGUCCCAUGUAAGAUGAUAUUUCAGCACUAAGAUAUUUCUUAAUUAUAUGUGUUUUUACUGUAUGUGUAAAUAGGGAAUAAAAGUUGCUGAAAUGCCAUUAACAAUGGCUGUUGAAAUUUUGCACUCUAGAAGCUACUAGAAGCAGAGAAAGGGAGUUGAACAUGUGGUGGUUAAUAUGCAGUUGGGCUCUUUCCUGACAAAUACAGCUGAUUUUAAGGUCAGUAUAACGGAUCUCACUGUUAAACUUUAAAAACUUUGUCUUAAAUCGCUGAUAGAAUCAGACAGAUAGCUGAAAGAAAACAUUUCUUUCAUGGCUAUUUUGAAAACGUCAUCAAAUUUCAGUUUGAUUUCAACUGGACCUUUUGCAAUACAACAUGGCAUUUGACUAAUCUUUAUUUCCCUGUCAUUGGUCAUUCAUCCUGUCAUGGCUUUUUUGAUUUGUAACUCUGGUAAUCAAGGUAAACUCGCUUAUAUUAACAUUUUGAUUUGUCAAAAUUUUUCUUCUUUCCAAGGACAUUUAAUCUGUAUUAAAAUUCUGCAUUAGUUGAAAUUAAAUUCUUUUCGUGUAGGAUAACUCCUUGGUUAUUAAAAUCACUUUGUUGAACUGCUAGUUGACAGCAUGUAGUUAAAUGAGUAUAUCUGUUGAACUUGGUGGAAACUGCAGUACAAAGGAAGACAUUUGAAUAUGUUUAUUAUCUUGUUUAUUUCUUAUGUUUAUUAUCUAAUGACAUUUUGUCAUUAAUUCAGCACACUAUGUGUAAGAGGGUUAAACUCUGAAAGCAAAACAGUACGAAAUCCAAAGCAGUGUAUGAUGGGAACGUUCCUUUAAAAAAUUCUGAAGUCGUCUCGCAUCUUUUAACUCAUGUGGGCAUAAAAGUUGAGCUACUGCAUCUUGGAGUUUACCUUACAGUGCUCAAUCCCCCCCAAAACUUGGAUGAAAAAAUUAUUUCCUUACCUGAUUUAAAAAAGAAAUACACACGAAGUGUAAUAAAAACUGUAAAGAGACUACCAGAAAUCUACUAAUUACCAUUUUCUCUAAUGUUUCAUUCUCAUCGGUUUUUAGUUAGUUUUUUAAGCAAGUCAGGUGAUAAUUAAAUGUGCCUAGAAGCCUCCUGGAAACAUCAAAUUACAGUCCUUAUGGAAAUCUCUCCCCUCAGUUACUCAGUGGGAGAACCAUUGGAGCAUGGAGUUCUGUUGGCCACAUU